GACGAACGCUGGCGACGUGCUUAACACAUGCAAGUCGAACGGAAAGGCCCUGCUUUUGUGGGGUGCUCGAGUGGCGAACGGGUGAGUAACACGUGAGUAACCUGCCCUUGACUUUGGGAUAACUUCAGGAAACUGGGGCUAAUACCGGAUAGGAGCUCCUGCUGCAUGGUGGGGGUUGGAAAGUUUCGGCGGUUGGGGAUGGACUCGCGGCUUAUCAGCUUGUUUGUGGGGUAGUGGCUUACCAAGGCUUUGACGGGUAGCCGGCCUGAGAGGGUGACCGGCCACAUUGGGACUGAGAUACGGCCCAGACUCCUACGGGAGGCAGCAGUGGGGAAUAUUGCACAAUGGGCGGAAGCCUGAUGCAGCAACGCCGCGUGCGGGAUGACGGCCUUCGGGUUGUAAACCGCUUUCGCCUGUGACGAAGCGUGAGUGACGGUAAUGGGUAAAGAAGCACCGGCUAACUACGUG
rnacentral:rRNA from 1 species